AGCAGCCGCGGUAAUUCCAGCUCCAAUAGCGUAUAUUAAAGUUGUUGCAGUUAAAAAGCUCGUAGUUGAAUUUCGGGGUCAGCAGGUUGGUCGUGCCAAUGGUAUGCACUGGCCUUGCUGAUUUCUCCCUCUUGAUGAGCCGUAAUGUCAUUAAUUUGGUGUUGCGGGGAAUCAGGACUGUUACUUUGAAAAAUUAGAGUGUUUAAAGCAGGCAAGCGCUUGAAUACAUUAGCAUGGAAUAAUGAAAUAGGACGUUUGAUCCUAUUUUGUUGGUUUCUAGGAUUGACGUAAUGAUUAAUAGGGAUAGUUGGGGGCAUUAGUAUUCAAUUGUCAGAGGUGAAAUUCUUGGAUUUAUUGAAGACUAACUACUGCGAAAGCAUUUGCCAAGGAUGUUUUCAUUAAUCAAGAACGAAAGUUAGGGGAUCGAAGACGAUCAGAUACCGUCGUAGUCUU
rnacentral:rRNA from 1 species